rnacentral:rRNA from 1 species
GACGAACGCUGGCGGCGUGCUUAACACAUGCAAGUCGAACGGAAAGGCCCUGCUUUUGUGGGGUGCUCGAGUGGCGAACGGGUGAGUAACACGUGAGUAACCUGCCCUUGACUUUGGGAUAACUUCAGGAAACUGGGGCUAAUACCGGAUAGGAGCUCCUGCUGCAUGGUGGGGGUUGGAAAGUUUCGGCGGUUGGGGAUGGACUCGCGGCUUAUCAGCUUGUUGGUGGGGUAGUGGCUUACCAAGGCUUUGACGGGUAGCCGGCCUGAGAGGGUGACCGGCCACAUUGGGACUGAGAUACGGCCCAGACUCCUACGGGAGGAAGCAGUGGGGAAUAUUGCACAAUGGGCGGAAGCCUGAUGCAGCAACGCCGCGUGCGGGAUGACGGCCUUCGGUUGGUAAACCGCUUUCGCCUGUGACGAAGCGUGAGUGACGGUAAUGGGUAAAGAAGCACCGGCUAACUACGUG